rnacentral:rRNA from 1 species
AUGGGAUCUCUUAGCUCAGACAAAUCAAGUUUGAACCCAAACGCUAAGGAAUUCAAUUUGAACCCUAAUGCUAAGAGUUUCACUCCCUUGACUUCUCUGAGGCCACAUCACCCUCCAGCGCUUGAUGCAACAUACUAUUAUCCUAAUAACAUGGGGGCUACUGGACAUGGUUUGCCUGUUGGCAUGGGGUUUCCACAGGCGUAUGGUGGACAGCCUGUUGUUUACAAUGCUCAGCCUGGAUCUUCUCCCCAGGGUUACAUGCAUCCUUCUGGGCAACAGUAUGGGCAGCAAAUGAUGAUGGGACAGACCCGCCCUGUCUAUUAUUAUGCACCUGAGAUGCAGCAGCAGCAAUACAGAGGAAGGAACUUCUAG